rnacentral:tRNA from 1 species
GAGGGUGUAGCUCAAGUGGUAGAGCACAUGCUUAGCAUGCACAAGGUUCUAGGUUCAAUCCCUGGCAUCUCCU